CAUGCCAGCGCCAGCACAGGGGCAUCCAGGCGAAUCACGGGCUGGAGAGAGAGGAGAGGCCGGAAUGAGACCCUGCUCCCCAGAGCCCCCCACACACCAGGGGACGCCGAGGGGUUCAUCUGGACCUUCCGAGGGGCGCUGCCCGCGAGCUGGGCCCCUUCCUUCCCCCGGCCCCACACAGCUCCUGUGCCCGGAGGCUGAGCUCUCCUAAUGAAAGGGGGUGCCGGAGAAGGGGGGCUGGCCCGCCCCGGGGCCUCCGAGCCCAAGCCGGGGAGCAGCCCCCCCAACCACGGGUGCCCACGUGGAGUGCGGAGCUAAUGGGCUGCCCAGAUGUUCCCUCUGCAUCAUCAGCCAAGAGGAGACGCCGGGAAAGGGAGAUUUUACUCAUAGGACUGGUCGGGAGGCAAGCCUCCAAGCCGACGGGAGGCCGGCCUCGCCCCCACGGCAUCCCCCAGUUACUGUCCGCCCGGCCCCUUCCAGAAGCUUCCAGCCCGGCGCCGGGUCCAGCCUCCGCCUGAGAGCGCCAGGGAGGGGAGGGGGCUCCCCCGGCCGCCACAGGCGUGGCAUCCCAGCCUAAGUCACCUUCCCCGGCCCCUUCUCCCCAUCCAUGACACAACUUCUCCUAUAGCCCCCCUCCCCAUCUUGGAGCAAGGCCCCGGGAACCCAACAAGGGUAUAGUAGGAAGGGAGGGGGAAGAGCCAGGAUUCCUGGGUCCUCAGGCUGCGGGGAUCCGGAGAUUGGGGAGGGGGGUCCGGAGCUCUGAUAGCCCUGAUUUCUUCACUAAAACAAUCCCCUGCUUUCCACAAAAGAA